rnacentral:rRNA from 1 species
CCUACGGGCGGCAGCAGUGGGGAAUAUUGCACAAUGGGGGAAACCCUGAUGCAGCAACGCCGCGUGAGUGAAGAAGUAUUUCGGUAUGUAAAGCUCUAUCAGCAGGGAAGAAGAUGACGGUACCUGAAUAAGAAGCCCCGGCUAACUACGUGCCAGCAGCCGCGGUAAUACGUAGGGGGCAAGCGUUAUCCGGAUUUACUGGGUGUAAAGGGAGCGCAGACGGCAGUGCAAGUCUGGAGUGAAAGCCCGGGGCCCAACCCCGGAACUGCUCUGGAAACUGUGCGGCUAGAGUACUGGAGGGGCAGGCGGAAUUCCUAGUGUAGCGGUGAAAUGCUUAGAGAUCAUACAGAACACCGAUUGCGAAGGCAGCUUACCAAUCUAUAUCUGACGUCGAGGCACGAAAGCGUGGGGAGCAAACAGGAUUAGAUACCCUUGUAGUC